rnacentral:rRNA from 1 species
UACGUAGGGGGCAAGCGUUGUCCGGAUUUACUGGGCGUAAAGAGCGCGUAGGCGGAGAGUUAAGCGUGCCUUGAAAGCCCCCGGCUCAACCGGGGAAGGUGGGUGCGAACUGGCUUUCUUGAGGGCGAUAGAGGGGGGCGGAAUUCCUAGUGUAGCGGUGAAAUGCGCAGAUAUUAGGAGGAACACCGGUGGCGAAGGCGCCACUCUGGGCCGAAACUGACGCUGAGGAGCGAAAGCAUGGGUAGCAAACAGG